rnacentral:lncRNA from 1 species
CUGUGGUGUAGGUCACAGCCACGGCUCGGGUCUGGCGUGGCUGUGGCUGUGGCUGCGGUGUAGGCUGGCAGCUGGAGCUCGAAUACGCCCCCUGGCCUGGAACUUCCAUAUGCCGCUGAUGCGACCCUAAAAAGCAAUACAUAAAUAAAUGAAUUUUAAGAAAAUAAAAAUAAAUAUCAUCAAAAGCUCCAGGAAAACAAGAAGGCUCUACGAGAGGGUUGGAACAACUGCUGCAUAAAGUGACCUUGAGCAGGUAGCGGCUGUGAGUGGAAGGGCGGGUUUGUCGAGUGCACUUGCCCUGAGGUUCCAGAAGUCUCCUUGGAAACACGGGGACUGUGACAAAGGGCCUGUGGAAGGGCUGUCGUCUCAGCGCAGGCCUAGGUCAGCCCUGAAUGUUGUUCACACCGUGGGAACAAUCUACACGCUCUUCUCUGACACUGACUUUUAUUUUAUUUCUAAUUAAUGUAUUCAUUUAACAACAGCUUUGACCGUGUAAAUAUAAACAGGCCGCUGGCAGAAGCAGAAGCGGGGUUCACAGAACGGGGCACCAAUUUGCUUUUGUUGCUGCUGUUGUUGUUUCUGCUUUUUGGGGGCCACCCCCGAGGCAUAGGGGUCGAAUCGGAGCUAUGACUGCCAGCCUGCAGCAGAGCUGCAGCAACACCGGAUCCUUAACCUGCUGAGCGAGGCCAGGAUCGAACCUGCGACCCCACGGCUCCGCGUCGGAUUCGUUUCCGCUGCGCCACGACGGCACCUCCAGGGCACCAACCUGUCAUGAUCUUGUUCAUUCUGUUGACUUGGUUCUUUGGCUUCUGUCUGUCUCGCCCCCAGAGCACGGGCUCAUCAAGAAGCUCUGGUUUUCUCCUGCCCGGACCCUCCCACGGAGCCUGUGGCCAGGAGGAAGCCAGCAGGAAGCAUGUUGGCACAGCCUCGGUGGAAGCGAAAGACCACACGCUGGAAUCCCAAAGCUUCAACUAUUCAUCAGCUGCCCAGUGCGCCAGUGGCGGUUCGGAGUGGCUGUUAGCCUGGCAUUGACGCUAAACCUGGAGCAACAAGGACCGAAAUUCAGCCCAAACGACUGUUGGCACCUCCACCUCUGAGGUCUCGUGGAAAUUGGAUGAUCAAUUUUGAAGUGGCUUUAAUGAAAUAUUAGUUCCUUCUCCUUUGAAAUCGAUUUCACCAAAGCCAAAGCUUUAGAUCAGGUGAAAUCGCUCUUGGAAUAUGCCAGAGACAGGAUCCACCAACAGGCAGGUCUUCUCCGCCACUGACUGCCGGGAAGUGUCAAAGAACUGGGAGCCAGAGAUGGUUCUAUGGUCUCGGGAGGGAGCAGGGCCCAUGCUUCCCUCACCAGUCCCUGACUCAGGGGGUGGCAGUGAGUGCCAGGGAGUGACUGGCAGCGUCCCGACAGAGUGAAAGAAUGAGCGAAUGAAUAUGCACGAAGCCAGCCUGUUAGGCUCCGUCACGGAAAUGCUUGCUUUGCCUCCAGGGAGUCCGCUGAAGACCCAGUGAAACAAAAGCUUUCCCAGGUGACCCUGGGAACCCCUGCGUCUCCUCCGGGGGUCCCGGACCUGGUGGGGGAAGCACACCAACGCUCCACCUGCUGGCCCCCACCC